ACAAGGUAGCCGUAGGGGAACCUGCGGCUGGAUCACCUCCUUUCUAAGGAAGCUGUGGAAUUGGUAAGACGAUCGGCACAUGUCCUCGGACAUGGCCCGAUAUGAACCUUCCCGUGCUUUUUAGAACAUAGAUGGCACCAGUCAGGUGACCAUCGAAACGUAAUACGCCGCGAUGACUUCGGUCACGACGGUAUGGCGAGCUUUCGCCGUCCACGUUUCUCUUUCUUCAAGAAGACAAAAAACCGCGUCGACCGGUUCCCCGAAUGGGCCCGUAGCUCAGUUGGUUAGAGCACACGCUUGAUAAGCGUGGGGUCGGAAGUUCAAGUCUUCCCGGGCCCACCAUUUGCAUUUGCAGAUGAGGGUUAGGGAUGAUGGAAUGUCAGGCGAUGCGGAUUGUUGCCGAACCUUGGGGUCUUGCCCCUGGGUGAUCGAGCUGGAGGGGCUGUAGCUCAGCUGGGAGAGCACCUGCUUUGCAAGCAGGGGGUCAGCGGUUCGAUCCCGCUCAGCUCCACCAAAUCGAUUGGUGUUGAAGCUGACGGCAUUUGUCUUUUGAAGAAAAUAAGGUUUUGCAUCGGUUUAGGCUGAUGCGUGUUCUGCAUACAUUGUGAAGAGAAGAUUGAUCUGGAGGCUUCCAGGUGUUUUGGGUUCUGCCCAAGGCGUCCGAGCCCAGUUCCUGUGAACCCAUGGAUGGCCUAGCCGGCCGGAUGUGGUGGAGGGAUUGGAGGUAGGAGGGAAGCUUGUCGCUCUGGGUCGUUGUUGUUUGCUGAUCUUUAGGGAUGAGCAUCUGACGGACGACUUGAUUGCCGUUGCCUGACCGCGCGGUAUCGGAUCAUAUCUCGAGAAGCUGGUCUUAAGACAGGCUGCAAGUGAGCUGCUCGGCGUAGCUCCAAUAAAGCAGACCUGUCGAACACGUUAAUGGCAUUGUUGGAUUGACUGGGUUGUAAAGG
rnacentral:tRNA from 1 species